rnacentral:rRNA from 1 species
GAUGAACGCUAGCGGCAGGCCUAAUACAUGCAAGUCGAGGGGCAGCGCGGUAGCAAUACUGGCGGCGACCGGCGCACGGGUGCGUAACACGUAUGCAACCUACCUUCAACUGGAGGAUCGCCCGGGGAAACUCGGAUUAAUACUCCAUAACACAGGGAUCCCGCAUGGGAAUAUUGUUAAAGCUACGGCGGUUGAAGAUGGGCAUGCGUUCGAUUAGCUAGUUGGUGUAGGUAACGGCUCACCAAGGCUACGAUCGAUAGGGGGUCUGAGAGGAUGAUCCCCCACACUGGUGCUGAGAUACGGACCAGACUCCUACAGGAGGCAGCAGUAGGGAAUAUUGGUCAAUGGGCGCAAGCCUGACCAGCCAUGCCGCGUGCAGGAAGAAGG